rnacentral:pre_miRNA from 1 species
CAUAUACUCCCUCCGUCCGAAAAUACUUGUCAUCAAAAUGGACAAAAAAGGAUGUAUCUAAAACUAAAAUACAUCUAGAUACAUCCCAUUUUAUUCAUUUUGAUGACAAGUAUUUCCGGACGGAGGGAGUAGUAG